UGCUUCUGUGUCUUUCAAAACAAUCUGUUCUGCAGACAAUCAGCAAAUGAAAAACCACUAUGUGCUGAUAUCUGCAGAUCAAAAUGCGAUUAUACAGACAAGACCAGACCAGACCAGACCAUCAGUGUCUAUUUUUCAUAGUUAUGGAAUGACUACUUUUGCUCUGCAAAAAAAGGGAAAAGGAAACAAGCAGGACAAAAUAAGGCAAAGAUUUGCAUGAAAUUUGCAUAUGCUAAUUCAUACAUAUCCCUGCAAAUGUACGAGUAAUGCCUCUAAUUUAAAUAGAACUGUAUUGCAUUUCACUGCAGUGGGGGAAACUGACUAGGCAAUCCGUGUGCUUGCUCAGUCUGCUAUCCAGGUUCAUACAACUCAUGGGCAACUUCAAGGUCCCUGCUCUCCCUUCUAAUGGAAUUUUUACCUUUGAAUCAGACUUUGACUCAACAGCCUUUUAAAUAGAAGAUACCUUGAAACAGAGGACUGUCCUCUGCAAAGUAGGACACAUGAAUCAGCACAUGGUCAAGCUGUGAUAGCCACCAUUUCCCUAACCGUGGGCAAAUCUAGAAUACUACUAAACAUAUUUGGCAGAAGGUCCUUGUUUGUACUGCACCAAUUUUAGGAUGGAGAACACAAUGUCAUAGCCAGCUAUGAAGGAGACUCUUUGGAAAUUUACAAAGGCAGCUGCGUGGACCAUGCCUGUGUGAAUGCUGGGAGAGUAUUCAUAUGUAAUUUGGAAAAGUGUGGACUACAGAUUACAGGGCAGCAGAAGGAUCCCCAUUAAAACAUAUUAAAAGAUCAAGUGAUCUUGAAUAUGUUCCUAGACAAACCUUCCCCAACCAUGUGGCUUUCACAUGUUAAUUGACAGUAACCUCCAUCAGCUCCAGCCAGCAUAGCCAAUGGCCAGGGGUGAUGCAAGUUGUAAUCCAACAACAUCUAGAGGGCACCAGAUUGGAAAAUGCUGUCCUAAAACAAUGAAACAGAAUGCUGUCCU